UUCCGGUUGAUCCUGCCGGAGGUCACUGCUAUUGGGAUUCGACUAACCCAUGCGAGUCGAGAGGGUUCGGCCCUCGGCUGACGGCUCAGUAACACGUGGAUAAUCUGCCCUUAGGUGGAGGAUAAUCUCGGUAAACUGAGAAUAAUACUCCAUAGACCUAAGAUGCUGGAAUGCACUUAGAUUGAAAGUUCCGACGCCUAAGGAUGAGUCUGCGGACUAUCAGGUUGUAGUUAGGGUAAUGACCUGACUAGCCUACGACGGAUACGGGUUGUGAGAGCAAUAACCCGGAGACGAUAUCUGAGACACGAUAUCGGGCCCUACGGGGCGCAGCAGGCGCGAAAACUUCACACUGUGCGAAAGCGCGAUGAGGGAAUCCCAAGUGCUUGCUCGUAAGAGUAAGCUGUUUCUUUGUCUAAAAAGCAGAGAGAGUAAGGGCUGGGUAAGACGGGUGCCAGCCGCCGCGGUAAUACCUGCAGCUCAAGUGGUGACCAUUAUUAUUGGGCCUAAAACGUCCGUAGCCGGUUUAGUAAAUGCCUGGGUAAAUCGUGUAGCUUAACUAUACGAAUUCCGGGUAGACUGCUAAGCUUGAGACCGGGAGAGGCUAGAGGUACUCCUGGGGUAGAGGUGAAAUUCUGUAAUCCUAGGGGGACCACCAGUGGCGAAGGCGUCUAGCUAGAACGGGUCUGACGGUGAGGGACGAAGCCCUGGGGCACAAACCGGAUUAGAUACCCGGGUAGUCCAGGGUGUAAACGCUGCUUGCUUGAUGUUAGUUGGGCUCCGAGCCCAACUAGUGUCGGAGAGAAGUUGUUAAGCAAGCUGCCUGGGAAGUACGGUCGCAAGGCUGAAACUUAAAGGAAUUGGCGGGGGAGCACAGCAACGGGUGGAGCGUGCGGUUUAAUUGGAUUCAACGCCGGA
rnacentral:rRNA from 1 species